rnacentral:rRNA from 1 species
GACGAACCGUGCGAACGUUAUUCGGAAUCACUGGGCUUAAAGGGAGCGUAGGCGGGCUAUCAAGUCUGGGGUGAAAUCCCACGGCUCAACCGUGGAACUGCCUCAGAUACUGAUGGCCUCGAGGGAGAUAGGGGCAUGCGGAACUGUAGGUGGAGCGGUGAAAUGCGUUGAUAUCUACAGGAACUCCGGUGGCGAAAGCGGCGUGCUGGAUCUCUUCUGACGCUGAGGCUCGAAAGCUAGGGGAGCAAUGGG